UGCUUGUGGAUGCUGUGACUGUUGUUUGCAUGCAGUGCCUUACUUAUCCAGGGGGUGUCAAUGUUGGACUUUGCAAGAAAGGGAAGGAGCGUUCCCGACGAGGAGGACGUAAAGGAUCCAUUGGAAUCAUAGCAGGUUGAAGCCCAGCAGUCGACGAUUCAGAACACGAGCAGAGAUUUGACCUGAGCACUACAAGGCCAGCCUUCAGUCUGCUUCACGUGAAAUGGAUGGAAGGAGCCGAUUGAAUUUUACACUCCCCUGCUCGUGAUUUAUGUGUUGGGUGUGAGGCGCGCUCACAGGCGGUGAAGCUCCGCCAACACUAGCUGGUGCUCUAGCUCCUCUCUGGUCGCGGCCGUUGAUACAGACCUGGUGCAGAUGUGCUCAGUAUUUUCAAAAAAAAUCACGCUGUUCAAAAUGCUGGUUGCUUCUCUCGGGGAGCUCCCUGCACCCUCUCCGUUUGUGUUAAUCGGAAGUCUCUGCUCUCACCCACUCUCGUAUCGUGCCUUCAUGGUCAGUUCCUCAGCGGGCUUCCUCCCUCUCAGUGUAACUUGCCUGUAGAUGUCAGUUCAUCACGUAACCCACUGUUACAGUGCAGGGGUGAGGACUAAUAAAAUAUGUCACCUUGUGUUAGUGGAUCUUCUUACAGAUGCUGUUUAUAUGACUGUUUGUAGAGACCUGGACUUGUUUUUCUUCCAUCCGUAAACCAUGUGCUUUCAUACUAUGUUAAAAAUGUUUCAGUAUUAAAAAGGAUAGCAUUUGACUUAGCCAGGCCCUGCCGCUUAAACAAUCUAAUAAUAUAUAACAUGAUGUUGUGGGGCCUCAUUUUACAGUUCUAACUGUAAUAGGGAC
ensembl:lncRNA